CGAGCCAUUCCCAGCUUUCCCUCUCAUCUCUUUUGCUCUGAGCUUUCUCUCUCAUCUCUUUCGCUCUGAGCUUUCCCUCUCUUCUCUUUCCCUUUCGAUCACAAACCAUUGUCACGUGUUUUUCGUUAAUGAGGUUUCGAGAAAGGGAAUGGGAUCGCGGUGCCGUUGAGGGCCCUCGUGCUCCGGUCUAACCGAGGGUUUGGAUCGACGGCCGUUGCAUAGUGCUACUACAAGGAUGACGAGAAGAGGAGUGUGCGACACACGGCAUGCUUGACACACAGGGUUGCAAGCCGAAGCGUGGAGUGUAAUGGGUGAUGAUAGGGAAGCCUGGAGCUGGGAGGAACCUCUUAGCGUAGAGGCUCUCGAAGGUUCUAGAAGUUCCUCACAUUUCCAUGGCUAUGCUCUUCAGCCAGAACCUCAACCCUUGCUCCUACCUCUAUCACCAACGAGCAAAUGCCUUAGAUCAUGGAAAACUUGUCCCAGAGGAAAAUACUCUUUUAUGACCAUCACGCUUCGUUCUUUUUGCACUCACGGUCACGCUAACAAAGUUCCUUCAUCUAUUCGGAAGACGUUGUUCCAUUGUUACCAGAUAUCGAUUGAGGCGAGGGUGUUGCAUUUUGAAAACAUUCGAAGUGGUAGUAAGGUCUUAAUGGAUUAAUUAGUGGGCAUUCAGGAGCCUAACUUUGUGCAAUUGACCAAGUCGAUGGAUUCAUCCUUAUUUGCAAACACGAUAUGCAGGGUAUGCUUAGAUAUGCAUAAACAAGUUCAAUUUUCUUCAAUGUGACAUAUGAUUACAGGCUAUAUACAGGGAGAAUAUCAAAUAAAAGUAACUAAAAGUGCCCUGGCCUUGUUGCUAACCAGCAGGUACAAUGAAUUGGGAAAAAUACAUGUCCAUGGCCAAAUCUGCAUGUAUUGGUUAGGGAUCACUUGUAACACAAAUCUUCAUGAACUAGUUGAAAAUUAAAGUACCAAAGCUUAUCAACUUUAAGCUGACUGUUAACUUUUCUUCCAGGAUAUUACUUCUAGCUCUUUUGAUUGCAAAAUUGGCUUUCUUAUGGAAAUCUCAUCUAUUAGAGAAUUACCUGAUAUGCAGGAACGAACCCAAGGGUGUUUGUGGUGUAUUGCCAUGUUCUUGCAACCAUUGUAAUUGCUCUAAUAACUUAUUUGUCACAGUAUUCAUCAUGACCUCUCACUCCCAUUUCUACUACCCUUCAAUCUCAGCUCAUGUCUUCACUUUCUUUUUCCUUUCACAGCAGAAAUUCUUGCUCCUAUUACUUUGAUAUUUUAAUUUGAUAUUUUUGUAGGAAUUUAUUUAAUUUAAUAUUUUUAUGGGAAUUAAAGUUGGCAACGCUAUUGUCAAGCAGCUGGAUGAUCUCAGUUGCCAAUGUUGUUCCAUUAUGGUGUGUUUCAAUAUUUCUUUUGUUGUUUCAUCUGUACCUAAUUUCAUUAUUAGAGAUGUGCUAGUCCAACUAUAUGUGCUUCGAUAUAUCUGGAGAUUCUCUUGGUAUCAGGGGUGAAACCUGAUGACAUAUGUUCCCAAGUUGGUUUAUGUUCCGCCAAAAGGAUUCAAUCUAAGAGAUUCCAUCAAGCUUGAAGAAGGUCUUCCACCCAAUAAUUUUUUGUGCAACAUUUGCAGAGCUAGCAACAAUUGUUUCAGAGUUUCUUUAUGAGUAGAGCUUGAUUAUAUUUUAGGUGUAAAUUAUAGUUUAGUUAAUAUUCAAUUCUAUAUUGUACAAGGGCUGGUUUGUUUUGAAUUCUAUUUAUAAAGU